rnacentral:rRNA from 1 species
UCCAGACUCCUACGGGAGGCAGCAGUGAGGAAUAUUGGUCAAUGGGCGGGAGCCUGAACCAGCCAAGCCGCGUGAAGGAAGAAGGCGCCAAGCGUCGUAAACUUCUUUUGUCGGGGAACAAAGGGCGCCACGUGUGGCGUUGUGAGUGUACCCGAAGAAAAAGCAUCGGCUAACUCCGUGCCAGCAGCCGCGGUAAUACGUAGGGGGCAAGCGUUAUCCGGAUUUACUGGGGGUAAAGGGGGCGCAGACGGCAGCGCAAGCCAGGAGUGAAAGCCCGGGGCCCAACCCCGGGACUGCUCUUGGAACUGCGCGGCUGGAGUGCAGGAGGGGCAGGCGGAAUUCCUGGUGUAGCGGUGAAAUGCGUAGAUAUUAGGAGGAACACCAGUGGCGAAGGCGGCUUACUGGACUGUAACUGACGUUGAGGCUCGAAAGCGUGGGGAGCAAACAGGAUUAGAUACCCCUGUACCA